UUAUCUUUUAUCUUAGGUGAAAUAUUCAUCAGACUAAGAUGAGAAAGAUUCAACAGACUAAGAUUUUUAUCUUUAUCCUUGGUGAAAAAUUCUUCAGACUAAGAUUUUCAUCUUAGGAGAAAGAUUCAACAGACUAAGAUUGUGACUCUAGGAGAUAAUUCAUCAGACUAGGUCCAUUUUGUGUGAUCUCAGGAGGAAGAUUCAUCGGAUUGCGAUUUUGACUCUAGGAGAUAAUUCAUCAGACUAGGUCCAUUUUUGUGUGAUCCCGACUUUCUUAAUUUUCCAAAGUCCAACUUCCUUUCUUUUCAAAUUCUGCCUUCCUUUCUUGUUCCCAAAUUAUGCCUUCCUUUCUCUCUUUUUUUUUUCGACUUCUGUCCUCCCCUUCUUUAAAUUAUGCCUUCCCUUCUUUUCCCUCAAUUCUGUCUUCCCUUCUUUUUUCCAACUUCUGCCUUUAU